rnacentral:rRNA from 1 species
AGAAUCAACGCUGGCGGCGUGCCUAACACAUGCAAGUCGAACGAGAAAGUGGAGCAAUCCAUGAGUACAGUGGCGCACGGGUGAGUAACACGUGACUAACCUACCCUUGAGUGGGGAAUAACCUGGAGAAAUCUAGGCUAAUACCGCAUAACACCUACGGGUCAAAGGAGCAAUUCGCUUAAGGGAGGGGGUCGCGGCAGAUUAGCUAGUUGGCGGGGUAAUGGCCCACCAAGGCAGUGAUCUGUA